UGAGGAAUAUUGGUCAAUGGGCGCGAGCCUGAACCAGCCAAGUCGCGUGAGGGAUGAAGGAUCUAUGGUUCGUAAACCUCUUUUAUAAGGGAAUAAAGUGCGGGACGUGUCCUGUUUUGUAUGUACCUUAUGAAUAAGGAUCGGCUAACUCCGUGCCAGCAGCCGCGGUAAUACGGAGGAUCCGAGCGUUAUCCGGAUUUAUUGGGUUUAAAGGGUGCGUAGGCGGCCUUUUAAGUCAGCGGUGAAAGUCUGUGGCUCAACCAUAGAAUUGCCGUUGAAACUGGGGGGCUUGAGUAUGUUUGAGGCAGGCGGAAUGCGUGGUGUAGCGGUGAAAUGCAUAGAUAUCACGCAGAACCCCGAUUGCGAAGGCAGCCUGCCAAGCCAUGACUGACGCUGAUGCACGAAAGCGUGGGGAUCGAACAGG
rnacentral:rRNA from 1 species